rnacentral:rRNA from 1 species
GAUGAACGCUGGCGGCGUGCCUAAUACAUGCAAGUCGAGCGAACAGACCAGGAGCUUGCUCCUCUGUCGUUAGCGGCGGACGGGUGAGUAACACGUGGAUAACCUACCUAUUAGACUGGGAUAACUUCGGGAAACCGGAGCUAAUACCGGAUAAUAUGUUGUACCGCAUGGUUCAUUAGUGAAAGACGGUUUUGCCUUCACUUAUAGGUUGAUCCGCGCCGCAUUAGCUAGUUGGUAAGGUAACGGCUGACCAAGGCAACGAUGCGUAGCCGACCUGAGAGGGUGAUCGGCCACACUGGAACUGAGACACGGUCCAGACUCCUACGGGAGGCAGCAGUAGGGAAUCUUCCGCAAUGGGCGAAAGCCUGACGGAGCAACGCCGCGUGAGUGAUGAAGGUCUUCGGAUCGUAAAACUCUGUUGUUAGGGAAGAACAAGUGUGGAAGUAACUAUGCACGUCGUGACGGUACCUAACCAGAAAGCCACGGCUAACUACGUG